rnacentral:misc_RNA from 1 species
AAGUCGUAACAAGGUAACCGUAGGUGAACCUGCGGUUGGAUCAUUAUUGAUUAAAUUGCUUUAGUAGUAGGAGGUUCUAGUAAUCACACUAUACUAAGGUUAUUAACACCUGUGCACCGUUAGAAAGGUUUUUGCUUUUAGUUGAUCCAUUGAUCGUAAGAUUGGUGGUAGAUUUUAGGCGAUAACCUGACUUACAAACCCCUUUUAAUUUGACUGAGUUUAUUUAUUGAUUUAAAUGAUAAACAACUUUAGACAACGGAUCUCUUGGCUCUC